rnacentral:rRNA from 1 species
UGGGGAAUAUUGCACAAUGGAGGGAACUCUGAUGCAGCGACGCCGCGUGAGUGAUGAAGGAAUUCGUUUCGUAAAACUCUGUUCUAUGGGAAGAAAAGGACUGUACCAUAGGAGAAAGCUCCGGCUAAAUACGUGCCAGCAGCCGCGGUAAUACGUAUGGAGCGAGCGUUGUCCGGAAUUAUUGGGCGUAAAGGGUGCGCAGGCGGCUUUACAAGUUGGAUGUGAAAUAUUGUGGCUCAACCACAAACGUGCAUCCAAAACUGCAAAGCUUGAGUUAAGGAGAGGUAAGUGGAAUUCUUGGUGUAGCGGUGGAAUGCGUAGAUAUCAGGAGGAAUACCGGUGGCGAAGGCGACUUACUGGACUUAAACUGACGCUCAGGCACGAAAGCGUGGGGAGCAAACAGG